GUCCACACCGUAACGAUGAUUACUAGGUGUUGGAGGAUUGACCCCUUCAGUGCCGCAGUUAACACAAUAAGUAAUCCACCUGGGGAGUACGACCGCAAGGUUGAACUCAAAGGAAUUGACGGGGCCCGCACAAGCAGUGGAGUAUGUGGUUUAAUUCGACGCAACGCGAAGAACCUUACCAAGUCUUGACAUCCCUUGACGAUGCUGGAAACAGUAUUUCUCUUCGGAGCAAGGAGACAGGUGGUGCAUGGUUGUCGU
rnacentral:rRNA from 1 species